GUGGGGAAUCUUGCGCAAUGGGCGAAAGCCUGACGCAGCCAUGCCGCGUGAAUGAUGAAGGUCUUAGGAUUGUAAAAUUCUUUCACCGGGGACGAUAAUGACGGUACCCGGAGAAGAAGCCCCGGCUAACUUCGUGCCAGCAGCCGCGGUAAUACGAAGGGGGCUAGCGUUGCUCGGAAUUACUGGGCGUAAAGGGCGCGUAGGCGGAUCGUUAAGUCAGGGGUGAAAUCCCAGAGCUCAACUCUGGAACUGCCCUUGAUACUGGCGAGCUUGAGUGUGAGAGAGGUAUGUGGAAACCCGAGUGUAGAGGUGAAAUUCGUAGAUAUUCGGAAGAACACCAGUGGCGAAGGCGACAUACUGGCUCAUUACUGACGCUGAGGCGCGAAAGCGUGGGGAGCAAACAGGAUUAGAAACCCGAGUAGUCC
rnacentral:rRNA from 1 species